AUGAUUUUUGGAAAAAAUAAAGAGCAAACUAUAAAGCAGCGGACACUGUGGCUCAUGGGGAUCGCGGGAUCCAUGGCCUACAACUGGUCCAGGCUCGCCAUGAAGACCAACGUCAAGCUCAUCCAUGCCAGGUUUAUACAUUUUCAAUGUUCUCUGCCUUGUUAUUCAUAUCCCUGCUUCCUUUCAAGGAUGCAAUGUUCCUACUUUCCCUGA
rnacentral:rRNA from 1 species